GGGCUGGUGGUGUAGCUGGCCUAACACAUCUCCCUGUCACGGAGAAGAUCGAGGGUUCGAAUCCCUUCCAGCCCGCCA
rnacentral:tRNA from 1 species